GUUCCUGUUGCACAACGGACAGCGCGUUGGACUUCUCAUCCAAAAGUAGUGGGGUUCGACUCCCUACUGGAAUG